rnacentral:misc_RNA from 1 species
GAUGAAGAACGUAGCGAAAUGCGAUAAGUAAUGUGAAUUGCAGAAUUUAGUGAAUCAUCGAAUCUUCGAACGCAUAUUGCGCCCGCCAGCACUCUGGCGGGCAUGCCUGUUCGAGCGUCAUUUCAACCCUCAGGCCUCGCGUCUGGCGUUGGGGCGCUGCGGCCCUCCCGCAGGCCCCCAAAUUUAGCGGCGGAUUCCCCGCGGCCCUGAGCGCAGUAGAGAGUAAAAACUUUAACGCUCCGGCGGCCGUGGCGCGGUUCUGCCUCUUUCCCAAUAGCGCCAAUAGCGCCACCCCCAAAAAAGUUGACCUCGGAUCAGGUAGGACUACCCGCUGAACUUAAGCAUAUCAAUAAGCGGAGGA